AACGCUAGCUACAGGCUUAACACAUGCAAGUCGAGGGGUAGCAGGGUAGCAAUACCGCUGACGACCGGCGCACGGGUGAGUAACACGUAUCCAACCUUCCCAUAACUCGGGGAUAGCCUUUCGAAAGAAAGAUUAAUACCCGAUAGUACUUAAGAAAGGCAUCUUUUUUAAGUUAAAGAUUUAUUGGUUAUGGAUGGGGAUGCGUUCCAUUAGAUAGUUGGUGAGGUAACGGCUCACCAAGUCUUCGAUGGAUAGGGGUUCUGAGAGGAAGGUCCCCCACAUUGGUACUGAGACACGGACCAAACUCCUACGGGAGGCAGCAGUGAGGAAUAUUGGUCAAUGGGCGAGAGCCUGAACCAGCCAAGUAGCGUGAAGGAUGAAGGUCCUAUGGAUUGUAAACUUCUUUUAUAGUAGAAUAAAGUGAACCACGUGUGGUUUUUUGUAUGUAUACUAUGAAUAAGGAUCGGCUAACUCCGUGCCAGCAGCCGCGGUAAUACGGAGGAUUCGAGCGUUAUCCGGAUUUAUUGGGUUUAAAGGGUGCGUAGGCGGAAUAAUAAGUCAGUUGUGAAAGUUUGCGGCUCAACCGUAAAAUUGCAGUUGAUACUGUUAUUCUUGAGUGUACAUAAGGUAGGCGGAAUUCGUGGUGUAGCGGUGAAAUGCUUAGAUAUCACGAAGAACUCCGAUUG
rnacentral:rRNA from 1 species